ensembl:snRNA U6 U6 spliceosomal RNA
GUGCUCCCUUCAGCAACACGUAUACUAAAGUUGAACAAUGCAGAGAGGAUUAGUCAGGACCCAGUGCAAAGAAGUCACACAAACUUGUGCAGUGUUCCAUAUUAAA